CUGUACCUGGUUAAAAAACCAAAUAAAUUGUAAUGUGGAAUUAUAAAAAGGCCUUUAACCAAGAUACAUUGCAAAUAACUGUACGGAGAUAGCCCAACAUAACUUGCCAGUGGGCCAGUCAGAAGUGAACUCUGGAACACUUUUCUGUAUCCACAGAUAGGAUAUGGAUACUUGGGCAACUUCUGCAGCAACACAAUCAACACCAGCACAAUGGGACUAUGUGCAGAAUCAAGUGGACACAUUUGUAGAUCAACAUAAAGAUGGAAAACAACAAGAGCCUCAGAGAUCUGGAAUAUCUAAGCACCAUUGGAUUAGUGUAGAUGUGCGGUUGAAAUGUGUGAAUCAAUAGUGUCUGAAGAACUUUACAAUCACUCAACAGAAGCAUCACUGUAGGAA